GGCAACAUGGAGGCAGACAUAAACGAUCCUCGCCAUGCAUCUCUACAUAAAUACAGGUUGUUAUGAAUAUUUCUUAAGGGAUGGAUUUCUAAAGGCUGGCCUUGAAUUCAAAGAUCCACCAGUCUCCACCUCCUGCGUGCUGAGAUUAAAGGUGUGGGCCACAACGCCCGGCCCUAACUUUAAGCCUUAACAACCCUCAGAGUGAAACAGCCCUGGAUCUGCCUUGGUUCUUGGAUUCUAUUCUUUAAUGACUAGGCACUCCUCCAAACCUCAGCCAGGAAAUAACGUCUUAUCGCGAUCCUUUCAACCGCUGAAAGUGAUCCACACGGUACUUGUCGAUUAACGUGACAGGUUAAAAAUAUGUCUGAUGACACCGAAGGGAUAGCGCUUGUAAUCAAUGUCAUUACAUCACUCAGCUUGCCUACGGUGAGAGAUUGGUUACCGCUGGGCACCCAGUGGCUGGCAAGGAGGAGAGUGGGUGAUUGCUGAACAGGAAGGACUCAUUUCUGCUUUUUAUGUCAAAGUUUCCCCCAGUCAAGUUUUUUACCAUUCACUUGAGGAGCUGGGAGUGCUUUGCAGAGGACUAUCCAGCAUGCUGCAGGAUGUGUAUGCCAGUGGCAUCUCCCUCUACUGAAUUCUGACAACCAAAAAUAGUCCCAGACGUUGUCAAAUGUUUGCUUGGGUGUGAACCACUGGUAUAACACCGAACAGGACCUCAAAGGCUGUGGAUCCUAGCACUUGCACGUUACCUAAAGGGAGGGAGGGUCUCCAAGAGGCGUGAGGCACCAACCUUCACAGUGAGACAACCUUCACGUCAUAACCCACCCUCCGAGAGAGCAAGGGCGGUGAGUCGGGAAGCAAACUGCAGUGAACUGACCUGGAACUUAACAGUGGGCGCCAAACCCACACUUAGCCUGCAUCGGACGCAUAAGGAUUUGGCAAGCCCUCAAAUUUCUCUGGACAUCAGUUCCUGGGUAGGUGAGUGCUGUCUCCCCGGGGACGGGUGUGAGCUGAGAAGGUAAUGCUUUUGUGGGUGCUUGUCUCUUGCCAGGUAUCCCAAGAAAACUCUUAUUUAUGUAUUUGUUUGUUUUUAAGAAAUGU
ensembl:lncRNA